rnacentral:tRNA from 1 species
GUUUUAGUAAUUUAAUAAAAAUAUUGGUCUUGUAAAUCAAAAAUAAGAAAGCCUUCUAAAACU